rnacentral:rRNA from 1 species
UACGAAGGGUGCAAGCGUUAAUCGGAAUUACUGGGCGUAAAGGGUGCGUAGGCGGUUCGUUAAGUCUGUCGUGAAAUCCCCGGGCUCAACCUGGGAAUGGCAGUGGAUACUGGGAGGCUAGAGUGUGUCAGAGGAUGGUGGAAUUCCCGGUGUAGCGGUGAAAUGCGUAGAGAUCGGGAGGAACAUCAGUGGCGAAGGCGGCCAUCUGGGACAACACUGACGCUGAGGCACGAAAGCGUGGGGAGCAAACAGG